UGCAGUCGAACGGUAACAGGAAGUGCUUGCACUUCGCUGACGAGUGGCGGACGGGUGAGUAAUGCUUGGGAACUUGCCUUUGCGAGGGGGAUAACAGUUGGAAACGACUGCUAAUACCGCAUAAUGUCUUCGGACCAAACGGGGCUUCGGCUCCGGCGCAAAGAGAGGCCCAAGUGAGAUUAGCUAGUUGGUAAGGUAACGGCUUACCAAGGCGACGAUCUCUAGCUGUUCUGAGAGGAAGAUCAGCCACACUGGGACUGAGACACGGCCCAGACUCCUACGGGAGGCAGCAGUGGGGAAUAUUGCACAAUGGGGGAAACCCUGAUGCAGCCAUGCCGCGUGUGUGAAGAAGGCCUUCGGGUUGUAAAGCACUUUCAGUUGUGAGGAAAAGUUAGUAGUUAAUACCUGCUAGCCGUGACGUUAACAACAGAAGAAGCACCGGCUAACUCCGUGCCAGCAGCCGCGGUAAUACGGAGGGUGCGAGCGUUAAUCGGAAUUACUGGGCGUAAAGCGCACGCAGGCGGUUUGUUAAGCUAGAUGUGAAAGCCCCGGGCUCAACCUGGGAUGGUCAUUUAGAACUGGCAGACUAGAGUCUUGGAGAGGGGAGUGGAAUUCCAGGUGUAGCGGUGAAAUGCGUAGAUAUCUGGAGGAACAUCAGUGGCGAAGGCGACUCCCUGGCCAAAGACUGACGCUCAUGUGCGAAAGUGUGGGUAGCGAACAGGAUUAGAUACCCUGGUAGUCCACACCGUAAACGCUGUCUACUAGCUGUGUGUGCCUUUAAGGCGUGCGUAGCGAAGCUAACGCGCUAAGUAGACCGCCUGGGGAGUACGG
rnacentral:rRNA from 1 species